UACGGAGGGAGCUAGCGUUGUUCGGAAUUACUGGGCGUAAAGCGCACGUAGGCGGCUAUUCAAGUCAGGGGGGAAAGCCCGGGGCUCAACUCCGGAACUGCCUUUGAAACUAGAUAGCUAGAAUCUUGGAGAGGUCAGUGGAAUUCCGAGUGUAGAGGUGAAAUUCGUAGAUAUUCGGAAGAACACCAGUGGCGAAGGCGACUGACUGGACAAGUAUUGACGCUGAGGUGCGAAAGCGUGGGGAGCAAACAGG
rnacentral:rRNA from 1 species